CGAAUAAGAUCACGCUCGCCUCCUCCUCCUCCUCCCCUCUCAUCCCGUCUCCCUCCCGAAUUGGGGAUCUCGCGAGUCGCGACGAACCAAACCGAUCGAAACCCUAGCUAGGGUUUCGCCGCACCACCACCACCACCUCCCCGGCCGCUCCCCACCGCCGCCGCCGCCAUGUACAACGGCAUCAGGUCUCCAGACCGCGCGGGGGUCGGGCACGAAUGGGUACGUGCAGACCAACAAGUUCUUCAUCAAGCCGCGGUCGUCGUCGGCGGGCGGGCCCCCGAGGGCGGCGCCGGCCCCGGGGUUCGACGACGCCGGCGGGGGCCUCGGCGGGAUGCGGAAGCCGAACAAGGAGAUCCUGGAGCACGACCGGAAGCGGCAGGUGGAGCUGCGGCUGCUCCUGCUGAGGGACGCGCUCGAGGAGCAGGGGUACACGGAGGGGGAGAUCGAGGAGCGCGUCGAGGAGGCGCGCAAGGAGGCCGAGAUCGAGGCCGCGGCGGCCGCGGCCGCCGAGGAGGAAGGACGCGGCGCGGGGCGGCAGCCACUCCCGGGCAAAGGUUUUUCAGACACACAAAGCCACCACGUUGCUGCAAGGAAGGAGAAGCAGCUUGAGACGCUGAGGGCUGCUCUUGGUUUGGAUGUUGAUGAUAAAGCGAAGAAGAACGCUGAUGUAGAAAGUGAUGUGGAAUCUGGGGAGCUUGUUCCUGGGAAGGAGUAUGAAGGUUUGGAAAUAGAUGGGCCAGAAGAUGGCAAGACUUUAAAGGAUGACAGAAGGCAUGCAAAGAAGGGUAAGAAGGAUAAAGGGAGUGAUGCAAAGAGUCAUGGCAAAAGUUCUAGGAAGAUUAAACUUGGUCAUGAUUCAGAUUCAGAUCAUGAUGAUAACAAGAAGAAGAAGAAGAAUUCUCGCUAUGGUUCAGAAGAUGAUUCUGAGGCUAAAUAUGAUGAAAAGAAGCACAGUAAACACUUGAAGAAUUCUCGCCAUGAUACAGAUGAUGAUUCUGAGAGUGACCAUAAGAAUGCAAAGUGUAAAAAGAGUUCUCGCCAUGAUUCAGAGUCUGAUUCUGAGAGUGAUCAUAAGAAUGCAAGGCGUGGAAAGAGCUCUCGCCAUGAUUCAGAGUCUGAUUCAGAUGGUGAUUAUGGCAAGAAGACAACAAAACAUGGCAAGAACGAUCGUGAUGAGAGAAAGAAAAGGCCUGCCACGAUCUCUCGCCGACAUGACUCAGAAGAUGAAAAGCCUAGAAAGGGUAAGCGCAUGGAUGAUUCAGAUACUGACUCGGAGGGUGAUGGUUCGUUCAGUGAGUCGGACAGCGACUAUGAUCGGAAGAAGAAGAAAUCUACAAAUAGUUCUCGCAAUGAAUCUAAAGAUGAUAAGCCCCGAAGAAAGGCUCCUAAGGACAAGUAUUCUGAUGGCCCAGAAAGUGGCUCAGACAGUGAUCAUGGUGGAAAAUCAAAGUAUUCAAAGAUUUCUCGCCGUGAUUCUGAACUUCAGUCCCGAAAGGAUGCUGAUAAACAGGACCAGUACCGUGAUAAAUUGAAGAGUGAGUUUGCUAGCGAUGGCUAUGGAGAGAAGAAAUCUGUUAAGAUCCCAUACAAUGACUUGAAAGAUGACAAGCCAAGCAGCAAGGUUGUUCGGAAGGACCGGUACAGUGAUGAAUCAGAGACUGAUUCAGAAACUUAUGUUAAGAAAAAGAAGAAUCUUCCGAAGUCCUAUCACCAUAGUGAUAAACCAGCACAAAGAGGUAAAGAAAAGGAAGAGAACUCUGGAAAGAAUGUUGAUAAGCGCAAGAGGCAUGAUACUGAUUCUGAUUCAGAUAGCCAUGCUCGUGAAAGGAAAAGACACCUUGAUGCACGGGCGAGUUUGGCUGCCCAAAAGAAAAGAAGUGUGACUAGCUCAAGUGAGAGUUCAGAGAGUUCAGAUUACAGCAGUAGCAGUGAUAGUGAAUCAGAUGUGAGUUCUGACAGCCGCGAGGAUAGGAAAUCAGCAAGACAGUUGAAGCAUGAUGAGUUAGAGAGAAAGAAAAGGAGUCAAGACGAGAAGAGAAAGGAGCUAGAGAAGCAAAAGCAGGAGGAAGAGAGAAAAGAGCUGGACAGGCAGAAGCAGAGGGAGGAAGAGAGAAAGGCUAAAGAGCUUGAGAAGCAGAAGCAGAGGGAGGAAGAGAGAAAGGCAUUGGAGAAGCAGAAGCAGGGGGAGAGGGACGGAGAUAGAUAUGAGCGUGACCAUGAGGGGAGGAAAGGCGAAAAUGAUGUUGAAAGAGACUACAAAAGAAAAGUUGGAGAAGAUAGGUAUGAUCCAAGCAGGAGGCAGGAUGAGGAUAGGUAUGAUCCAAACAGGAGACAUGAUGAAGAUAUGUAUGAUCCAAAUAGGAGGCAUGAAGAACAUGGUCGACGAAGAAAUAGAGAUUUUGAUAGCCGUGAUCCGAAAAGGUCUAGACAUGAUGAUUCUUAUCAUCAUUCUCGAAGGGACUAUGAACAGCGUUAUUCUAGAGAUGAAUAUAGAGACAGGAGGCAUCGUUGAAUGCAAGUCAUGUCCAUCUCUGGUUUCUUCAAGCAGAAGAGGGAUGCAUCUUUACAUGAACCGAGCAGAUGAUCGAUGUCCUGCUCCCUCAAGUUUUUCAGAGUCCUACCAGAAGAAGACUUGAUGCAGCAGUAAAUCUCUCCUAGCAGUAGAGAACCUUUUGCCUCAGGAAUGUACGUUUGCUUAUGUUUGUAUGAACUUUCAUACUUGUUGUUUUGUUGUGUGAAUGAUCAAUAUGUAUUCUGGUGGAUAUAAUUACCUUGUGUCUGCAAGAAAUAUAUGAUUUAACACUGUGCCCAUGUGGUUUAGUGGCUUAGUGCUGAACAGCAUCA